rnacentral:ncRNA from 16 species
CCCGAACAUCAAGAGAGUGGCUGACGCCAACGCCAACCUGCCUACCGGGGCAAGGUGGUUUCUCUUCGCAGCAAUGCACUUGUGCAGGGCUGUGUAGGGGAUGGGGCUGUCGCUGGAACAUUUAGGUUUCAG